rnacentral:tRNA from 2 species
GGGGCUGUAGCUCAGCUGGGAGAGCGCCUGCCUUGCACGCAGGAGGUCGUCGGUUCAACCCCGUCCAGCUCCACCA